AGCAAAGAGACAGGGUGUAGAUAGCAAAAAAAGCAGCAAAAACGAAAAUGAAAGGCCCAAACCAUAACAAGAAAAUCUGGAGCAUCAGGGAGCGUUAGAUUGAUCUGAAGGCUGAGAACGAGGGAGUAAAACCGAAAAUAAACCGGACCGGUUUAAAUCUCUAUAUAUAUAUGUGAAAUCCGGUUUUUUCUCAUUUGUUACUCCUCUUUCUCUUUCUUCUCUCUUUUAGAGAGAGAAGCUCCACCUUCUCUCUAAUUUUCCGGUCAUCUUCUCCGGUUGGCAUGGCUUUUCCGGCGCAGCGGACGGCGGUGGCGCCUCCGCGCCGGAGUUCGAAACUGCUCCGAUUCAAUUUUUUUUUACGUUUUUAAACAUCCUUUUUUACGUAUUACUCGAAUCCGAGUUUAGAUUUUUCAAAAGAGCUUUGAAUCGGAGUAGAUCUAAACUUGAACCUUGAUGAAAAAACUUAAGAAAACGGAAAGGAAAAGAGGGAGAACGACGGCGGUUACCUCACGAUUGCGGUGACUCUUGGCUUGGCGUUGUUGCUUCGUGUUCUUCGCGUUCUUCACGUUCUUGUUGCUCCGCGUGUUUGCUCGCGUCCUUGCUUUCUUGUUGCUUGCUUGCGUGCGCGCUGCUUGCUUGCGUGCGCGUUGCUUGCGUGCGCGUUGCUUGCGUGCGCGUUUGCUUGCGUGUUGCUUGCUUGCGUGCGCGUUGCUUGCGUGCGCGAUUGCUUGCUGUUUCUUUGGUUCUGUCUUCUUCUCCUUCCUAUGUGCAGAUUCGGUUUGCCUUCUUCUUCUCCCACCGUGAUCGGUGCUUGAGUUCUUCACUUCCGGUGAGGAAUUCGCACCUUGUAUUGCGGUGGAAUCGAUUCGAUGAUGAAGAUUCGUACACGAAUCUCUGAGAAUUUCUGAUGAAUUUUCGGUUUUGGUUCUUGUGCUCUUGGUGAAUCUGUUUUUUGAUCUAACAGAAUGGAGAGAGAAAGUUUGGAUCUGUUUGUGAUGUGGCACUGUGUGAAUGGAAUCCCCUGAAAAAAAUCUGACACUGUUUCCCUUUUAUAUGCUGCCAUGUGUACCUGAACCAAUAAAAAAGUGACAUCUGGACUGGACUAAAAUUUGUGCGAAAAUUUGGACCAAAAUGCCCUUUGGGGCGUUUCUGCAAAAAAAAAUGAUAAUAAAAGGACUGAAAUGCAAUUUUUAGAAACUUUUGGACUUAAAUGUAAUUUUAAAAAUAAAAUUGGACUAAAAAACAAAUUUGAUAAAACGUAAAGCGAAACAAAAAUAAAAUUGACAAAACGGACUAAAACGAACCAAUGGCCUAAAUGAGGUACUUCAAAGUAACCUCUCUAUGCCAAAAUUUUGUGUGAAAUGACCAAAAUGCCCCUAGGGCUAAAAAUGACCUAAACAGAUUCAAAUUGGCUUGACACUGACUCAGAUGCAAGUUUGAA
rnacentral:lncRNA from 1 species